GGGCUCUGCCGGCUGAGAAUUGCGGGAUUGCAUCUGACUUUUUUGCUAUGGUUGAUCCCGCCUGUAGAAUUUGGUGUACUCCGAACAGAGUGGCUGCUUAAAACAUUCUCUUACCGGGAAACAACUAUUCCAGAGAGCAAGAUAAAUAACACCAUGUAAUAAAGUUAGAUUUUUUUCUGUUCCUGGUUUGAAAGUGUUAUUUCCUGUUUAAUUAUGUGGUACUUACUUUUAAAGUAGUUGUAAUACUCCAGAAACUUCAUUUUUGUCACUACUACAAACUAUGUUGAAUUGGUUGAGACUCUGUGAGAUAUUCAUUGAAAAACUAUAGCAAAAUGUGUUGCAGGAUGUCCCGCAAAAACAAAGUUUUUGCAGUUUAAUACACUUUUUCCAUGUUUUCGUGAUAGAACUAAUUAGGGAAUGACUUUUAUAACCCAGGAACAAAAACUGUUACAUAGUGACAUCGGAUGGAUUCAUUGCACAAACUACCUUCCAAGUUGAUCUCGCAAUAAAGAUGUGGUGACUGCACAACAUCCUAAACCAAACUUCAAGUUUCUCAGAUAUUUGAACCAGUUUCCAGUUUCAGUGCUGGCAAUUUAAGACACAAAAUGCAUGUGGGGGGUGGUCCAUUAGUUUCUUUGUCAGGCCAGCCUUUUGAAAUACAAAUAAAAACUGAAGAACGCUGA